rnacentral:misc_RNA from 1 species
GAGGUUUUAAAACCUUAUUGGGAAUGGCUUAUGGAGCACAAGAAAAACUUGAAUGCGUACAUAAUACGAAUAAUUGACAAUGCCAUCCUACGUGAGAUCUGCUUCAACAAAUCAUCCCACAUGGUUUCUAAUGGUCUGAGCAUUAUUGGGGUUAAGUUGAUUUGGUGAGAGGCCAAAAACUUGAAUACAAAAGAGAGAUUCUAUAAAGUGAUUUCUUCAAAAGCAAUGCCAGAGGGCCAUUCUUUAAUAGAUAUAUGUUGAUUCUAGAUUGACCAAGGCCAAUUCUAUAAGGAAUAGGGUAUGUCCACUUCAUGCUCGAACUGAAAG